CGUCAACAAACGAAAUCAUUUGAAGCUGGCAGUUUUCAGGUCGUAUGGGGCUUUAACGAAUAUUUGAAGGUAUGUUUAGACACAAGUAUAGCAGGAAAAUAUGUUAAGAAUUUUUUGAUAUUAAAUUUAUGAGACAGCAACUCAAGAAUACAACGAUAUAAGACCUCAACCGUGCGCAGCUUUUUGUGCACCGUAAAUUGAAGGUUUUUAUAAGGGGUGGCUCUGUAGCUCUCUGUUAUGUCAAAAUAUUUUUUCAGAGAGCUACAGUUCUGCAGCUAGUGUGAUGGGCAAGAAAUCCCCAGUAGCCGUAUUGACUUUGUUCUCAUAUCGAAACACUUUGGACUAGAAAUAGCUAACAUUCUUGCAAAACAAGCACCUAAAGUAAAAAACAGUAGACUUUCAGAUCAUUUGGCGAUAAGAUUUGAUUUGAUACUUUUAGGAGAAAAAAGAGGUAAAGGAUUGGAAAUUAAAUACAUGUACAUCCUUAUUAACUGAUGUUAAUUAUGUAACACAACUUAAAGAAUUGAUACGUGAAAAUGAAGAAAUAAAUAACAUUUUAGAUGACCAAAUGAAGUGGGAAAAAAUUAAAACAAUAAUUAAAACUUUUUCAAUGCAAUUUGCGCAACAUAAAAGUCUUGAAACAAAACAACGUAUUCUGUUGAUAGAGGGAGAAAUUGAAAAUAUAGAAUUACAAGAUUCAAAUCAAAUAGAUAUGAAAAGAAAAAACAUUUAGAGGUAGAGGAAGAUGGUAUUUACAAGAAUAUUGCAAAAGGUGCAUAUGUACGAUCGAAGUCAAAUUGGAUUGAUAAAGGUGAAAAGAAUACACCAUAUUUCUUAAGAUUAGAAUGACAAACACAAUCAUCAAACACAAUACACGAAAUAAAAACAGGAAAUAAUGAAACAGUUAAUAAAACUGGUGAUAUAAUGAAUAAAUUGUGUGAAUUCUACGAAGCGCUAUAUGUAAGUAAUAAUAAUAAUAACUAAUAAUCCUAAUUGUUCGCGAACAAUUAGAGGGCUUUCCACCUACAAUGAUUUAAAAAAAAGAUAUUUAAGAAUAUUUAAGAUGAUGUACGAAACUCAAAACGACCUUGAAAAUUUAAAUAAUAAUUUUCACGAUGACCUUGACCUUUGACCUUAUUUUGAAGGUCAAAGGUCAUCGGUCUUAAUGCAAGUGAUCCCAUGUCUCUCUCUAUAUUAAUGUAAAAGCUAUAAGCUUAAAAGAUGUUAAUCAAGACAUUCAGGGGCAAUAAUUUGUUAGGGGUUUUCGGUUAGCUUAUCAAUGCUAAAAAUACUUUGAAAGACCUUGAAAAUGGAAAAAAAUUAAUUUUGAUGAUGACCUAGACCUUGACCUCAUUUUGAAGGUCAAAGGUCAUCGGUCUUAAUGCAAGUUGUCCCAUGUCUCUAUCUAUAUUAAUAUAAAAGUUAUAGGCUUAGAUAAUGAUAUUGGAGACUUUCAGGGGCAAUAACUAUGCUUAAGGGUUUUCGUAUCCCUUUGAUUAUUUUUUCUUUGCAAGAGGGUUUUACUGUGAAUUCAUUAGCGAAGGUUUCGUUUCUCUAUGACUUUCCGUUAAGUAGGAGUAGCGAUAACAAGGUUUUCGACGCGAGUCUCCGAAAUUCACAGGAGGGUCAAAGUUCAAAGUUGAAAUGCAUACUAUCAAAACCAAUCAAGAAGUCAAUACUUACCCAUAUAAUAUUUCGACGCUAUCUUAAGCAGGAAAGAGAGUAUAAAAAAUGCAAUUUUUUCCUCUUUUCUGAUGACCUUGACCUUUGACCUUGACUUAAUUUUCAAGGUCAAAGGUCACCGAUCGUAUUCCAGUUGGUCCCGUGUCUCUACGACAAACCGUUCUCAAGUUCGACAUGUUUUACAAAUAAAUCGCAAAACAUAAAGAGGCAUUAACUCCCCUUAGGGGACACCGAAUCCCUUCAUUUUAAAUUCUUCGCUUCUACGAAUUACCCUCUAUGCUUUAGAAAAGGUUUUAUCCUUCUAUCAUUUAUGGUUACAAAGUAGAAGCGCUAACAAUGAUUUCUACGAAAGGUCCAAUAACUCCGUAAGAGGUCAAAGUUCAAAUACGCAGGGUGAACUGUAUUCGUUUCUCAAGAAGUACUAUAUGCUGGUCUAUAAAGUUUUUCAAUAAGUCUUAAGGUAGAGACCGACAGCAACCACGUGAUCAGUAAAAAUCGUGUAUUUUCACGUGAAAUUAUUUUUCGGAAUUCCGUACAUCUCCAUAGAGUAGUUGAAAAACAAAAAGGGGUUCCGAAAGUACAAGUUGUUGCUGUGACUGAAUCGAUGAUUGAGAGGGUCGUCUCGACGAAAGAUAGAGAAAUUUGGCCAUAGUUUAGAUUAGGAAUACGUCAAUGUAAUAAUAGUGGACUAAAUGUUUCGUCCGUGCAGAAUGGCACUUUUUACCUCACGAAAUUCACCACCAUGCAUAGCUGCGCUACGUAAACAAAGUUGUUGAUGUAGCGUGAGUUUCAAUACUGUUUAUGUAGUCAUUGAGAGUUUAAACAAAGUUUCUUCUGAGAAGAGGAAUUCGAUGGAUGCAUUCAACGUGGACAACGAAAUCAUAAUUUCGUUUGCAUCAUCCUAAGGACCAGUGCAAGUUGAAAUGGGCUUCCAGCCAACAACUUCAACAGCAAUUUGCCAUGAAAAUCACCAAGAAAGGUACUUCAUUUACAUUGAUGAUGUCAUAUCCCCUGGACCCCACAACUUUACAGGUUACAGAGAAAAUUCAAGAACUUCUGCAAAAUGUGGAACUUGGAUAGAAUCAAUAAUGUAUUUGUGAGCCCAGAGCAAUGGAUAUAUUGUGCAACAUACUAUUCUAAAGUGUGAAUUUAAUGGAAAACAAGUACAUGUACUCAUGUAUUACAUGUCUUUUUUAAGACAAUAAUAUUGAAUAAAUAUAGAGGAA